GAUGAACGCUGGCGGCGUGCCUAAUACAUGCCAGUCGAGCGAACAGACGAGGAGCUUGCUCCUCUGACGUUAGCGGCGGACGGGUGAGUAACACGUGUAUAACCUACCUAUAAGACUGGGAUAACUUCGGGAAACCGGAUCUAAUACCGGAUAAUAUAUUGAACCGCAUGGUUCAAUAGUGAAAGACGGUUUUGCUGUCACUUAUAGAUGGAUCCGCGCCGCAUUAGCUAGUUGGUAAGGUAACGGCUUACCAAGGCAACGAUGCGUAGCCGACCUGAGAGGGUGAUCGGCCACACUGGAACUGGGCCACGGUCCAGACUCCUAAGGGAGGCAGCAGUAGGGAAUCUUCCGCAAUGGGCGAAAGCAUGACGGAGCAACGCCGCGUGAGUGAUGAAGGUCUUCGGAUCGUAAAACUCUGUUAUUAGGGAAGAACAAAUGUGUAAGUAACUAUGCACGUCUUGACGGUACCUAAUAAGAAAGCCACGGCUAACUACGUG
rnacentral:rRNA from 1 species